UGUUUUGAAACCAAAGGAUGCAGUUAAUUGGUCGUAUAGAGGUGAAGGAGCUGUUAAUCUGGUUCUCGCUUACACUGGAACCUCUCCCACUUUUUUGGGAAAGAUGAUGAGAAUACAGAAGAUGCCCAAUGAUGUGAAAAGAGACACAAGUGAAAAUGGUCUAACGAGUCAUGAAAAGCUUAUUUGGGGAGAGAUUAAGGAACUUGUCUUGCCCGAACAAGGAGGUUUUGGAGUUUUUGUUCGUCAAACAUGUCAUGCAUGAAACCUCUGUUGGGUCAUAAAUAUGUCAAUCCUGGACUCUUCAUUUCAUUUAUCUUUUGUCAUCAUAACAUGGAAAAUUUUCCAUUUUGCGAUGUUUUAAAGAGCUUUGCUUUGUUGACAGAUGCGUCUUCUUGUAGCAAAGGAGUUUCUUGAGUCUGUUGAGAACAUUGGGACAUCUCAGCGACCUUCUUGGCGAGCUGAUGUAGCCAGUGCGGAUACUAACCGCAGUUUCGUGCUUCUGAUGGAUGAUUUGACACUUUUUGCCCACGGUUAGCUGUGGUUUUUGGUUACUAGGCCAUGUCACGUUGAUGAUCUUCUCUGCUUUCAGGUCGGGUUGAGGAUAAACCAUGCUUAAGUGUUGAAAUAAAGGUGUUCUUGAUUAUUAUCAUGUGUUUCUUCCUUUUUUUCGCUGGUGAUCGAAUGCUUCGGUUAAUGUACAUUGCUGUGUUUGAUCUGAUGAAGUAGCCAAAAUGUGGGUUUAUUCCAUCUUCAAGUUUCAUAGCUGAGGAGAAUGCUAUCAAGAAGAGUAUCACUCGUUUCAAGAUGCACCAAGUUCUGAAGCUUCAAGAACGUGAGAUCUCAGAAACAAGUGAAUAUGAUCCUUUGGACCUUUUCUCUGGAUCAAAAGAUAGAAUACACAAAGUAAUAAGAG